rnacentral:lncRNA from 1 species
ACUGCCCCACCAUUUAGGAUAAACACGUAUCUGUUAAAAAUUGUAUCCUAAAACUAAUCAUGUGGUGAUUGAGUUUAUCCUUGUAUAUGAAUUAUUGAUUAUUGAAUAAAAAUUAUUCUAUUAUUUUUUAUCAUAAAGUUACAUCUUCCUUGAACUCUUGUACUGUGAUAAAGUCCUUAGAACUAUGCUAGUGUGCGCCAA